rnacentral:rRNA from 1 species
CCUACGGGAGGCAGCAGUAAGGAAUAUUGGACAAUGGUCGCAAGACUGAUCCAGCCAUGCCGCGUGCAGGAUGAAUGCCCUAUGGGUUGUAAACUGCUUUUAUACGGGAAUAAACCUGGGUACGUGUACCCAGCUGAAUGUACUGUAAGAAUAAGGGUCGGCUAACUUCGUGCCAGCAGCCGCGGUAAGACGAAGGACCCAAGCGUUAUCCGGAUUCAUUGGGUUUAAAGGGUGCGUAGGCGGGUUGAUAAGUCAGUGGUGAAAGCCCAACGCUUAACGUUGGAACUGCCAUUGAUACUGUCGAUCUUGAAUGUGUUUGAUGUGGGCGGAAUAUGACAUGUAGCGGUGAAAUGCUUAGAUAUGUCAUAGAACACCGAUUGCGAAGGCAGCUCACAAAGCCACUAUUGACGCUGAGCACGAAGACGUGGGAGUACAACAGAUAGUAUACCUACGUAGUACCGACCGACCGUAACCUUACGUA